GACGAACGCUGGCGGCGUGCUUAACACAUGCAAGUCGAACGGAAAGGCCCUUCGGGGUACUCGAGUGGCGAACGGGUGAGUAACACGUGGGUGAUCUGCCCUGCACUUUGGGAUAAGCCUGGGAAACUGGGUCUAAUACCGGAUAGGACUACGGCCUGCAUGGGUUGUGGUGGAAAGCUUUUGCGGUGUGGGAUGGGCCCGCGGCCUAUCAGCUUGUUGGUGGGUGAUGGCCUACCAAGGCGACGACGGGUAGCCGGCCUGAGAGGGUGACCGGCCACACUGGGACUGAGAUACGGCCCAGACUCCUACGGGAGGCAGCAGUGGGGAAUAUUGCACAAUGGGCGCAAGCCUGAUGCAGCGACGCCGCGU
rnacentral:rRNA from 1 species